GAAAUGCGAUAAGUAGUGUGAAUUGCAGAAUUCAGUGAAUCAUCGAAUCUUUGAACGCACGUUGCGCCCUUUGGUAUUCCUUAGGGCAUGCCUGUUCGAGCGUCAUUUAAACCCUUCAAGCUCAGCUUGGUGUUGGGUGACUGUCCGCCGCCCCCGGGCGUGGACUCGCCCCAAAUCCAUUGGCGGCCGGUACGUAGGCUUCGAGCGCAGCAGAAACGCGAACUCGAGCCCGCGGUGUCGGCUCCCAGAAGCCAUCUCUUUUAUUUUGACCUCGGAUCAGGUAGGGAUACCCGCUGAACUUAAGC
rnacentral:misc_RNA from 1 species